AACGAACGCUGGCGGCAUGCCUAACACAUGCAAGUCGAACGAGACCUUCGGGUCUAGUGGCGCACGGGUGCGUAACGCGUGGGAACCUGCCCUUAGGUUCGGAAUAACUCCCCGAAAGGGGUGCUAAUACCGGAUAAUGUCUUCGGACCAAAGAUUUAUCGCCUUUGGAUGGGCCCGCGUUGGAUUAGCUCGUUGGUAGGGUAAAAGCCUACCAAGGCGACGAUCCAUAGCUGGUCUGAGAGGAUGAUCAGCCACACUGGGACUGAGACACGGCCCAGACUCCUACGGGAGGCAGCAGUAGGGAAUAUUGGACAAUGGACGAAAGCCUGAUCCAGCAAUGCCGCGUGAGUGAUGAAGGCAUUAGGGUUGUAAAGCUCUUUUACCCGGGAUGAUAAUGACAGUACCGGGAGAAUAAGCUCCGGCUAACUCCGUG
rnacentral:rRNA from 1 species